CCUACGGGUGGCAGCAGUGGGGAAUAUUGCACAAUGGGGGGAACCCUGAUGCAGCAACGCCGCGUGGGUGAAGAAGUACUUCGGUAUGUAAAGCCCUGUCAGCAGGGAAGAAAAUGACGGUACCUGACCAAGAAGCCCCGGCUAACUACGUGCCAGCAGCCGCGGUAAUACGUAGGGGGCAAGCGUUAUCCGGAUUUACUGGGUGUAAAGGGAGCGCAGACGGCAGCGCAAGCCAGGAGUGAAAGCCCGGGGCCCAACCCCGGGACUGCUCUUGGAACUGCGCGGCUGGAGUGCAGGAGGGGCAGGCGGAAUGCCUGGUGUAGCGGUGAAAUGCGUAGAUAUCAGGAGGAACACCGGUGGCGAAGGCGGCCUGCUGGACUGCGACUGACGUUGAGGCACGAAAGCGUGGGGAGCAAACAGGAUUAGAUACCCCAGUAGUC
rnacentral:rRNA from 1 species